UCAAUAAGCGGAGGAAAAGAAACCAACAGGGAUUGCCUCAGUAACGGCGAGUGAAGCGGCAAAAGCUCAAAUUUGAAAUCCCCCGGGAAUUGUAAUUUGAAGAGAUUUGGGUCCGGCCGGCAGGGGUUAAGUCCACUGGAAAGUGGCGCCACAGAGGGUGACAGCCCCGUGAACCCCUURAACGCCUUCAUCCCAGAUCUCCAAGAGUCGAGUUGUUUGGGAAUGCAGCUCUAAGUGGGUGGUAAAUUCCAUCUAAAGCUAAAUACCGGCGAGAGACCGAUAGCGAACAAGUACAGUGAUGGAAAGAUGAAAAGCACUUUGAAAAGAGAGUGAAAAAGUACGUGAAAUUGUUGAAAGGGAAGGGCUUGCAAGCAGACACUUAACUGGGCCAGCAUCGGGGCGGCGGGAAYCAAAACCACCGGGGAAUGUACCUUUCGAGGAUUAUAACCCCGG
rnacentral:rRNA from 1 species